rnacentral:rRNA from 1 species
GAAUUGCAGAAUCCCGUGAAUCAUCGAGUCUUUGAACGCAAGUUGCGCCCGAAGCCUCCGGGCCAAGGGCACGUCUGCCUGGGUGUCACGCAACGUCGCUCCCUCCCACCCCUUGUGGGAACGGGGAGGGAGCGGAAUAUGGCCUCCCGUGUGCUCCCGCUCACGGUUGGCCCAAACACGAGUCCUCGGUGCGGUGCGCGCCACGGCUUGCGGUGGUUGAAACGACCCUUGCUUCAAAGCCGUGCGUACGACCCCGCCCGUUCAGAGGCACUCACGACCCGCGGUACCAGAUCGUGCCAACGACGCGACCCCAGGUCAGGCGGGAUCACCCGCUGAGUUUAAGCAUAUCAAUAAGCGGAGGAAAAGAAACUAACAAGGAUUCCCCUAGUAACGGCGAGCGAACCGGGAAGAGCCCAGCUUGAGAAUCGGGCGCCGUCGGCGUUCGAAUUGU